GUAAUUUUGAUGAUUGAUAGAGCAACAAUCUUAAAUUGAUGGUGAUGAAAAAAAUACAAACAAUUGAUGGUAAAAAAGGGUAAGAGUUUCCAACUGAGAACAUUAUAAUGAUAAACUCUUGUUGUGAGUUACGAUAGCGUAAAACUGAAUCCAAGACGUGGUUUAAUAUCCAUCAAGCAAAAUCCCUCAACCGGCUACAAAGUUAAAUCUAGCAUGAACCUUGUCACUUUGAAUGGACAGAUAGAAG
rnacentral:lncRNA from 1 species